UACGAAGGGGGCUAGCGUUGCUCGGAAUUACUGGGCGUAAAGCGCACGUAGGCGGCUUUCUAAGUCGGGGGUGAAAUCCUGGAGCUCAACUCCAGAACUGCCUUCGAUACUGGAGAGCUUGAGUCCGGGAGAGGUGAGUGGAACUGCGAGUGUAGAGGUGAAAUUCGUAGAAUAUUCGCAAGAACACCAGUGGCGAAGGCGGCUCAGCUGGCC
rnacentral:rRNA from 1 species